rnacentral:rRNA from 1 species
AGCGAACGCUGGCGGCGUGCCUAACACAUGCAAGUCGAGCGAGAAAGGGGGCUUCGGCCCCUCAGUACAGCGGCGAACGGGUGCGUAACACGUGGGUGAUCUGUCCUCAAGACGGGGAUAACUCAGCGAAAGUUGGGCUAAUACCGGAUAAGACCACAAGAGGAAACUCUAGAGGUCAAAGGGUGCUUUCUUUUGGGAGCAUUCGCUGGGAGGAGGAGCCCGCGACCUAUCAGCUGUUGGUAGGGUAACGGCCUACCAAGGCAAAGACGGGUAGCUGGUCUGAGAGGAUGACCAGCCACACGGGGACUGAGACACGGCCCCGACUCCUACGGGAGGCAGCAGUGGGGAAUAUUGGGCAAUGGGGGAAACCCUGACCCAGCGACGCCGCGCGGGUGA